rnacentral:rRNA from 1 species
GACGAACGCUGGCGGCGUGCUUAACACAUGCAAGUCGAACGGAAAGGCCCUGCUUUUGUGGGGUGCUCGAGUGGCGAACGGGUGAGUAACACGUGAGUAACCUGCCCUUGACUUUGGGAUAACUUCAGGAAACUGGGGCUAAUACCGUAUAGGAGCUCCUGCUGCAUGGUGGGGGUUGGAAAGUUUCGGCGGUUGGGGAUGGACUCGCGGCUUAUCAGCUUGUUGGUGGGGUAGUGGCUUACCAAGGCUUUGACGGGUAGCCGGCCUGAGAGGGUGACCGGCCACAUUGGGACUGAGAUACGGCCCAGACGCCGACGGGAGGCAGCAGUGGGGAAUAUUGCACAAUGGGCGGAAGCCUGAUGCAGCAACGCCGCGUGCGGGAUGACGGCCUUCGGGUUGUAAACCGCUUUCGCCUGUGACGAAGCGGGAGUGACGGUAAUGGGUAAAGAAGCACCGGCUAACUACGUG